rnacentral:misc_RNA from 1 species
CAAAAUGGCGGACGGAAUGAAGAUAUUACUUUCGUUUUCUCUAAAAAUAUCAUUGUUUUGAGGCCUUGAUUUUCAAAAUAAGGUCUAAUUAAGGAGGUUUUGGGCUAUAAUAUCAUAGGGAAUUUAAAGAAUCAAUCAUUUUAGGGGAUUAAAGAUUAACUUGUCUCUUCAGUGGCCCAAAAAUGAAGCCGCAAGUUCUUUGGUCACCACAUUCUCCAGACAGGUUCAUCACGUUUGGCAAGGAUAUACGUCUGUACAAGUCUGUAACUAGUCAGGAGAAUUCUCGUGGACAAGUACUACAGCUAUCAGAUAAAAGCCAUGCUUUGCUGUCAUCUGUCAUUAAUGAUGACCAGCUACUCAAGUGUAUUGCUUGGUAUCCACACACUGAGCCUGACGACUUGCUUGCUAUUGGUCAGUCAAAUGGUAGAGUCAUAGUUACAAGUUUCGCUAAUGAAAACAUUCAAUCUGAUUGUGGGUUAAGAAGAGAAUUCGUGCCAAGGCAUCCCAGACAAUGUAAUAGUCUUGCAUGGAAUCCAGUAGCAAGCAACCUGCUUGCAGCUGGUCUAGAUAAAGUGAGAAAUGACGUAUCUCUGAUGGUGUGGGAUAUAAAUGUACAACUUACUGUUAGGGACAUAUCAGGACAAGAAAAACCAAGUCGACAUUCAACAGUACAAAGUGGCAAACAGUCACCAAUCAUGGGACCUGGUAUAUCUGAAUCUACUACUAUAGGAAACAGACCCCUUGCUGAACUAGCCACUUCAGAGCCAACCCUUUCCUUGGCUUGGUUUCCUCGUGAGCAUAAUUGCUUGAUUGCCGGACAAGCACAAAAGUAUCUACGAGUAUUUGAUCUCAGAGACACAAGCAAACCCCACAGUGCUGCUGUUACAAAGGCUGUCUAUGGAGUUUCAGUUGAUCCACACAUUGAACACAGAGUUGCUUCUUUCUCAGAGGGUCCUCCAGGAAUAGUCUGUAUUUGGGACAUCAGAAAUUUUGAAAAACCAUUGAUGACCCUAGCACAGCCUAGUAAUAUCAUAACUAACCUUGCCUGGAGUCCCACAAGGUUUGGACUGCUCUCUACCAUUGCGAGGGAUAGUUCUGUAGUACAGCUGUAUGAUAUUCAACAUGCACAGUUAGGUUCAUCAGCAUAUAACAGCUAUGAGUUGGAUGCCUCAGUGAUUGAAAGAAGUGCAAAGUCUUCCAAGACUGACAUUUCAUCUUUUUCAUGGCAUCCAACACAUGAGAAUAGAAUGCUGACUAUAUCAUCUAAUGGUUCUCUUUCAGACUUCACUAUUUUUGAGAGGAUUUCAGUGGCAUGGUCUCCUAGUUCUCAACUCACUUUUGGCUGUGGAAAACACUUACUUGACUGCACUCAGGAUCCACCAGAACCUCUAUCAGAUGAGGAAGACAUCUCUUUCCUGAUGAAAAAGAGAGCCAUUGCAGGAUAUGGAGUAGAUUUAAUACAGCUUGACGAAAUCUCCAAUGUCAUUCAAGAUCCCAAAGUUCUGAAGCUUUGGAGCUGGUAUCACCAAGUUGAAAGACUAAGAAACCAAGGAAAGAGGAAGGGUUUUAAUUUCUAUGGUAUCAAGACAGUGAUUUCAGGAGAAACAAGUCAAGGAGGGGUAUGCUCUAAGAGCAAGAUUGAACAGUCCUAUCAGGAACAACGGCUCAGAGCAAAAGUAUACUGCAGUGAAGAGAGGCAAACUGCCCUAUCCCUUUGUGGCUGGGACUUUGGCGAAGUUAAUGGAACCCUGGCUGACUUUUUAAAACAGCUUCAAAUGAAGGGCAUGUAUGAGAGAGCAGCAACAAUAGCAUUAUUUAACAAUGACAUUCGACAAGCCAUUGAUAUCUUGAGUGCAGCUUCAAAAGCUGCAACCACUAAUCCAAACCAUAACUCAAAAGUUCCAGGGAUGGUGUUUAACAUGGUUGCCAUGGCACUGUCAGGAUACACAGUUGAAAAAGAGGCUUUAUGGAGGCAGAUGUGUAGGAAACUAUGCAGUGAGAUUGAAAGUCCUUAUCUUAGAGCUGCAUUUACAUUCUUAACAACAGAAGAUGGAAAUUUUGACAACAUAUUGAAUGAAUCCAGGAUAGAAGUUGAAGACAGGGUUGCCUUUGCAUGUAAAUUCCUCCCAGAUAACAAGCUGGCAAGCUACAUCAAUAAUUUGACUGCUAAAAUGAUUGAAAAAGGAGAUCUGAAUGGGAUACUCUUAACUGGUAUGACUCAGGAUUGUGUUGAUCUGUUAGAGAAAUAUGUCAAUAGAACAACAGAUAUACAGACUGCAAGUCUAAUUAUAAUCAACUCAUCACCAAACAUUCCACCUGAGAUAGCAAAAGAUUCAAGAGUUAAUACUUGGAUACAAAGCUAUAGAAAUUUGUUGGACAUGUGGCGACUGUGGCAUCAAAGAUUCAAGACCAAGAAAAAUUGCACAGUAUAAUAAUCCUUCCAACAGACCAAAGGUAAUGGGCUGCCCUGGGUGUCGCAAGCCACUUCCAAGAUGUUCUCUUUGUCUAGUUCACAUGGGUACACCAUCAACUCUACCACAGAAACCUCCAAAUAUUGAUCUGAAUGCUGAAAAACCAAAGACUGUCAGAAGCAUUA